rnacentral:lncRNA from 1 species
GGGAUUUGUGAAACAAAUUCAGGAAAUUAAGUAAGCAAUCAGUAAGCAAGAUUUAAACUUUGGUUGUUAUCGAGAUUAGAAAGUAACUAGGGUGUACGUGUUCCCCAUAAGCUCAUAACACAGUAAUCCAAGUAAUAGAAAUCCUUUCCUAGUGUAUUACAUGCAAAGUGAUAAGUUAGGUAUCUCUAAAUCCUUGGUCCGGCAUCUAGAGAAUUUCACCCCGCACCUUGGUCCGGCUACGUGUGUAUAAUUUACUAACAUCUACCUUUACCUCACAUUAGACAUCACAUCGAUG